rnacentral:rRNA from 1 species
UACGUAGGGGGCAAGCGUUGUCCGGAUUUAUUGGGCGUAAAGAGCGUGUAGGCGGCCAUGUAGGUCCGUUGUGAAAACUCGAGGCUCAACCUCGAGACGCCGAUGGAAACCAUGUGGCUAGAGUCCGGAAGAGGAGAGUGGAAUUCCCGGUGUAGCGGUGAAAUGCGCAGAUAUCGGGAAGAACACCCGUGGCGAAGGCGGCUCUCUGGGACGGUACUGACGCUGAGACGCGAAAGCGUGGGGAGCAAACAGG